rnacentral:rRNA from 1 species
GACGAACGCUGGCGGCGUGCCUAACACAUGCAAGUCGAGCGAGAAAGCCUGCUUCGGCGGGCGAGUAAAGCGGCGAACGGGUGAGUAACGCGUGGGUGACCUGCCCUUCAGAGGGGGAUAACCCGCCGAAAGGCGGGCUAAUACCGCAUGAGCCUGUCAGGUGGAAACCGGACAGGGAAAGGAGCAAUCCGCUGAAGGAGGGGCCCGCGUCCGAUUAGCUAGUUGGUGAGGUAAGAGCUCACCAAGGCGACGAUCGGUAGCCGGUCUGAGAGGACGGACGGCCACACUGGGACUGAGACACGGCCCAGACUCCUACGGGAGGCAGCAGUGGGGAAUUUUGGGCAAUGGGGGAAACCCUGACCCAGCAACGCCGCGUGGAGGACGAAGGCCCUCGGGUCGUAAACUCCUGUCCAGAGGGAAGAAGACAGUGACGGUACCUCUGGAGGAAGCCCCGGCUAACUCCGUGCCAGCAGCCGCGGUAAUACGGGGGGGCAAGCGUUGUUCGGAAUUACUGGGCGUAAAGGGCGCGUAGGCGGUCUGGAAAGUCUCGGGUGAAAGCCCCCGGCUCAACCGGGGAAGUGCCUGGGAAACUACCGGACUGGAGUGCUGGAGAGGGAAGCGGAAUUCCCAGUGUAGCGGUGAAAUGCGUAGAUAUUGGGAGGAACACCGGAGGCGAAGGCGGCUUCCUGGACAGACACUGACGCUGAGGCGCGAAAGCCAGGGGAGCGAACGGGAUUAGAUACCCCGGUAGUCCUGGCUGUAAACGUUGAACACUUGGUGUGGGGGGUGAGAAGUCCCUCCGUGCCGGAGAAAACUCGAUAAGUGUUCCGCCUGGGGAGUACGGCCGCAAGGCUG